rnacentral:rRNA from 1 species
GACGUAGGGCGCAAGCGUUGUCCGGAUUUAUUGGGCGUAAAGAGCGUGUAGGCGGCUUGUUAAGUCUUGCGUGAAAUCUCGGGGCUCAACCCCGAGCGGUCGUGAGAAACUGGCAGGCUAGAGUGCGGGAGAGGAGAGUGGAAUUCCUGGUGUAGCGGUGAAAUGCGCAGAUAUCAGGAAGAACACCCGUGGCGAAGGCGGCUCUCUGGAACGCAACUGACGCUGAGACGCGAAAGCGUGGGGAGCAAACAGG